AUACGGAGGGUGCAAGCGUUACUGGGAAUCACUGGGCGUAAAGCGCGCGCAGGCGGCUUGAUAAGUUGGAUGUGAAAGCCUACGGCUCAACCGUAGAACUGCAUCCAAAACUGUCAGGCUAGAGUCUGGGAGGGGAAGAUGGAAUUAGUUGUGUAGGGGUAAAAUCCGUAGAGAUAACUAGGAAUACCAAAAGCGAAGGCGAUCUUCUGGAACAGUACUGAUGCUGAGGCGCGAAAGCGUGGGGAGCAAACAGGAUUAGAAACCCCGGUAGUCC
rnacentral:rRNA from 1 species